AGCUCAUUAAAUUGUUUUGUGUUUUGCUUGGUUCAGAAAAUAAAAUACAUUUCAGCAUUAGGAAUUCAGCAUCUUAUCCAAAGUGCUUCUAGACCCACACUGGACUGUGACUGUCAUUCGACUUAUGUCUCUACCCACACAACCAAUAUCCUGACCAGGUCACGGAUACUGUGGUCUGGACGCAGUUUUCCCCAGUUGACAACAGAGGUCAGCAGAAAGUAUCCCCAGCCCGUCCCAUUCGCCUUUGAGAGGACGUAUGGGGUCUUAGGCUUUUAUUUUGAAGUGUGUGGAGAGAGAGAGCGAGAAAGAGCGAGAGAGAGCGAGAGAGAGCGCGCACAUGAAUGCGCGUUAUCAGCGGCAGACGCAGAGGGAAGCGCACACACAAGGGAGGGUUUUUUAAAUCGUCCACGGACCACUUGGCUUCUCGGACCUAAUAAACAUGCACCUCCUGGGUAUCUCUCUCCUGCUCACAUACCUUCUCUACACCACCAUCGCCAGCGACUACUAUGAUUACUACGAGCAGUCUACAGACGAGCCGCCAGUGGCCACAGGUGAACGUGAAGUGCGUUGUAGACCCUGUGGAUCCACCUGCUGACGUGACCUGACGUACUUGAUGGUACUGAUGAUAAGGGUCUGUAGGAGGACAGGCUGGCCCGCAUGGAGCCAUUAGACUUUAAAUUCAUAUAUUAUAUUCUUUACUUUGAAAGGGAUAAGCACGGGUUUUCCAAACGAUUGUCAGUUCACCCGUGAGUGAAUAAGUAACUUUAGCCAUUUAUAUUAGACCACUGUAAUAAUUGUUCAUUUUAGUAAAGUUCGGAACAAGAACCUUUUGAGACAGAUCUGCAAAUCAAUGUAAUUGUUAUACUUUUCUGAAAGGCUAUUUGAUGUAUAAAAAGUAUAAACUAAGUAUAAAUAUAUUCUGGUAAUCAAAUUGUAUACAAUUUGAUGUAUAAAAAGUAUAAAGAAAGUAUAAACAUAUUCUGGUGACCAAAACCAUUCCCAGAAAUGUGUCUGACCCUACCAACAUAAUAUGUCUGUUCACAUAGAUAAUGCAUCAAGUCCCCUGACACCCAAAAACAGUGACCAUGUCCUUUAGGGAGUGAACUAACUAGUCAAACCAAACCUCUCUCAUCGUCACUAGUGAUGCUUUGACCGUAAGCAGAGACAAUAAAAUGUUUUAUGUGUCACA
rnacentral:lncRNA from 1 species